UACGUAGGGCGCAAGCGUUGUCCGGAAUUAUUGGGCGUAAAGAGCUCGUAGGCGGUUUGUCGCGUCUGCUGUGAAAGCCCGGGGCUCAACCCCGGGUCUGCAGUGGGUACGGGCAGACUAGAGUGCAGUAGGGGAGACUGGAAUUCCUGGUGUAGCGGUGAAAUGCGCAGAUAUCAGGAGGAACACCGAUGGCGAAGGCAGGUCUCUGGGCUGUUACUGACGCUGAGGAGCGAAAGCAUGGGGAGCGAACAGGAUUAGAUACCCUUGUAGUCC
rnacentral:rRNA from 1 species